rnacentral:rRNA from 1 species
UACAGAGGGGGCAAGCGUUGUUCGGAAUUACUGGGCGUAAAGGGCGCGUAGGCGGCCUGUUAAGUCGAACGUGAAAUCCCCGGGCUCAACCCGGGAACUGCGUCCGAUACUGGCAGGCUUGAAUCCGGGAGAGGGAUGCGGAAUUCCAGGUGUAGCGGUGAAAUUCGUAGAUAUUCGGAGGAACACCAGUGGCGAAGGCGGCUCACUGGCUCGGUACUGACGCUGAGGUGCGAAAGCGUGGGGAGCAAACAGG